UUUUCGACACUUGUUUUGAAAUAGUUAUUUAUGCAACCGAGGUAUAUAUACUAUUUUCAUUACACCAACUACGAAAGUUGUAAUUUUCGCUUCCCGAAUGAGAUGCGAAAGUAUAAAAAUUCAACUCUCAGUUAGCCACGACAUCACAAGAGGUGCGAAAAUACUUUCGCCUCCCAACAGAGGAA